UCAAGUCAGCAUGCCCUUUAUGCCUGGGGCUACACACGUGCUACAAUGGCCGGUACAAAGGGCUGCAAACCCGUAAGGGGGAGCGAAUCUCAAAAAACCGGCCUCAGUUCAGAUCGAGGUCUGCAACUCGACCUCGUGAAGGCGGAAUCGCUAGUAAUCCCGGAUCAGCACGCCGGGGUGAAUACGUUCCCGGGCCUUGUACACACCGCCCGUCACACCACGAAAGUUUGUUGUACCUGAAGUCGUUGACGCCAACCGCAAGGAGGCAGGCGCCCACGGUAUGACCGAUGAUUGGGGUGAAGUCGUAACAAGGUAGCCGUAGGGGAACCUGUUUUCUGGAUCACG
rnacentral:rRNA from 1 species